rnacentral:rRNA from 1 species
CCGGCGACCGGCAAACGGGUGCGGAACACGUACACAACCUUCCUUUUAGUGGGGAUAGCCCAGAGAAAUUUGGAUUAAUACCCCGUAAUAUUAAAGAGUGGCAUCAUUUUUUAAUUAAAGCUCCGGCGCUAGAAGAUGGGUGUGCGUCUGAUUAGGUAGUUGGUGCGGGUAACGGCCCACCAAGCCAGCGAUCAGUAACUGGUGUGAGAGCACGACCAGUCACACGGGCACUGAGACACGGGCCCG